rnacentral:rRNA from 1 species
UGGGGAAUAUUGCGCAAUGGGGGAAACCCUGACGCAGCGACGCCGCGUGAGCGAUGAAGGCCUUAGGGUUGUAAAGCUCUGUUUUAAGGGACGAAUGUUACGGGGAGUAAUAUACCCUGUAAAUGACGGUACCUUAAGAGGAAGCCCCGGCUAACUACGUGCCAGCAGCCGCGGUAAGACGUAGGGGGCGAGCGUUGUCCGGAAUUACUGGGCGUAAAGAGCACGUAGGCGGGAAGUUAAGUCAGGUGUGAAAGACCGGGGCUCAACCUCGGUGGUGCACUUGAAACUGGGUUGCUUGAGGGCAGGAGAGGAGAGUAGAAUUCCUGGUGUAGCGGUGAAAUGCGUAGAGAUCAGGAGGAAUACCAGUGGCGAAGGCGACUUUCUGGACUGACCCUGACGCUGAGGUGCGAAAGCGUGGGUAGCAAACAG